UCGUUACAAAUGGUAUCAGAGCCGAUCCCCGACCUCAGUGUGGGGGUUUGUUUGGCUCUGUAAGGGGUGUUUGUCUGUUUGACCUUACAAUCCCAUGGGAUACAACGAGGACAUUGUGUCUGCAUGAGAGGUGUUUGUGAUGUCUCACAUCGGAUAGGAGAGAAAAUUCUUGGCAUUAUAUAUGUAGAGGCUCCUCUUAACCAAGUAGAUGCGUG
rnacentral:lncRNA from 1 species